AUGCCUCAAUCUGAUAUCAUGCAUGCAUGAACAACAGAUAAAGCUGGGUAGUAAGCUACUAUGAACAACAACAACAAGUAAGCUAAAAUGAACAACCAUAGAGAAGCUACUACAACAACAAAUAAUGAGUGUGACUCAAUAGGUUACCCAAUUUCAUGGUGAACUCGAGGUUCACAAGCAUAACUCAUGUGUAAGUCUCAUAGGGAAAGUCUCACUGAACUACUCCCGAGACCGCCUGCGGACAGUACACAGACCGUCCAGACAGCACACUGACUGUCCCUCUAGUGACCAACCUCCGGAGUGCACAGCUUGCGGGGAGCGACCCCUCCAAGCGCAGACAGGCUAUGUGAGCACGAUCAACUCACGACCAACAGCAUUCUACCCUCUAAGGGUAAUCUCAUCUUAGAAUCAUGGUGUUCUAAUACUCAAUCUCAUAGUGUUUCAGCUACACUAGGGUUCUCAUGUCAUAAGCGAUCAACAAUCAUAUGCCACUUGUCAUAGUUUUCUAUGUUAGAUGCCACUUGCCAUUUUGACUCGUUAUCAACACUAGUUACAUUAUACUAGUUCUUUAACAACAUAAGCAUUAAUCAUCUCAUAUAGGGUCUAGGUUUUCAUCAUAUAGUUUUCAUGCAUACAAUUAGGUUUCCGACCCAUCAAAAUAGAUUAAAACCCUAUAUGCCCAAAAAUCCCAAAAUCCAACCCUAGGUUUAGCACCCACGGAAAAUAAUAGUUUCUAGCUUUAUUGUGAGCUAGAUCCAUACCCUCUAAACUCAUUAGGUUCCAUUUGAACCAUUAAAAACAACAAAAAGCUCCCAAACCCAAGAAAUCACAAGUUAGGGUUGAGGCUUACCUCUAGGGUUUGCUCCAAAGCAAGCCCUAGCUUGAGGAAGAGGAGGGAGAGAAGCUUCUUCUUCUUUUUCUUGAUCUUCUCCUUCCUUUCCUUCUUCUUCUCUUUCUUUCUCUCCUUCUUUUCUUCUUCUUCUUCCAUUUUUCGGUUUAGAGAGAGAGAGAGAGCUAAGUGAGAGGGAGGGAGAGAAGCUAAGAGUGAGAGAGAGGCUGAGAGAGAGAGGUAUACAAAGUCUCUAAUGUAACAAAAUCCCAAAAAGCCGCUCUAUUUUCUAAUUUCCAAAGCAGACCCACUGUUUAGGGUCCAUUGUACCGGUACACGGUUUCUUGUACCGGUAUAAGGCCUGGGUGACAGCCAAACCCGAGCGCUCGGUUUCUCGGUUUCAUAGGGCUUGUACCGGUACAAGGCCCCCUUGUACCGGUACAAGGUCUUGCAGCUCCAACCCGAGAGCUGCGAUGGUUGUACUGGUACAACCAUCACUCUUGUACCUGUACAACAGCUCCAGAAUGCUGUUUUUCUCUUCUCUUCGGCUCUACUUCGCGCCGGUCGAUGUCAAAACCAUUCCAACACCUUUGGAACUCAUUUUUGCUCUUCCAAACUUGUUGGAACCUCGAAUAGAACUUGUCCAAACCGUUCAAUUCCCCACUUUGGUCCAUUUGGCCAAAAUUAGCCAAAUUCCAUCGAGUUUCAAUAUCUCACAUUCUCCACCCCUUAAAAGGAGUUUCGUCCUCGAAACAACUCAACUCAUAAUUCGAACAAAACUCUUACCUCAAUCCUCGAACAAGUGAGGAUGAUUCGCUUUCAUCUCGUCCUCGAGUUCCCAAGUGGCUUCGCGAUCGUCGUGAUUGCUCCACCGAACUUUAACAUAGGGGAUUUCUCGAUUCCUUAGCUUGCGCACCUCCCGAGCUAAAAUCUCCACUGGAAACUCUUCAUAGCUCAUAUCAUCCUGAAGCUCCGGCGGCUCAUAAACUAGAACAUGCUCGGGAUCAUGCAUGUACUUGCAAAGAUUGGAGACGUGGAAGACAUUGUGCACUCCCGCAAGUUUCGGGGGCAAGGCAAGUCGGUACGCCACCAUCCCAAUUCGCUCCAAGAUCUCGUAGGGGCCAAUAUAACGAGGACUUAGCUUUCCUCGCUCCCCAAACCUUUUCACGCCUCGCAUCAGCGAAACCUUCAAAAACACGCGGUCACCCACCGCGAACUCCAAAUCUCUACGACGUUUAUCUGAAUAGCUUUUCUGUCGCGACUGCGCCGUGAGCAACCUUUUGCGAGCAAGUUGGACUUUCUCCUCCGCCUCCCGCAAAACAUCCGGACCAAACUCAACUCGCUCGCCUACAUCACUCCAAUAAAUGGGAGAUCGACACUUCCGCCCGUAGAGAGCCUCGAACGGUGCCAUUCCCACGCUAGCAUGAUAACUGUUGUCAUAGGCGAACUUGUCACGCCCCCGCCCCGGGGCCGCUACCGAUUUGGCACGGUUCGGGCGCGGCAAGCGGACCGCCAAACGGACAGAGUCUCCCCUGUCCGCCCAAGGCUCAAAUGACGAGAUUGUGUACAACAAGUUCCCAGGAAAACACUUGAAUACAUAUACAAUUAUACAACAACUAAAGCACGAACAGUGCUGAACAUUACAAGAGCAAGCGUCACAAGUAGUAGACAUACAAGUGAAACAAAAGAGAGAUACUUAACUAUUCUAUUACAACCAUUCUACUUGAUACAUUUAAUUACAACUUGCAUUCUUUUCCAAAAUAUGAAUAUAAGCGUACAUUCUUCAAAAGAUAACAUUAGUUUACAUUUAUCUCAAAAUACCUCACAUCCUAUACAUCAUCUACUCUCAAUACAUGUAUAGGGUAACUCUAAUGCAAAAUAGGAAAGUAAACUACCAACUAGCAUUAGGGCGCUAAGCCUAUAACGCGAUCUUCUGCCGAUCCGCUCUCGUGUGUACCUGUACCCCAAAACCACACGGGGUGAAAACUAUAUAAAUAUAGUUCCCAGUAGGUUCGGCCGCCGACUUCGCCGAUCUUCCCACUAGGUCCAAGCUGGCACAGAUAGAUAGAUAGAAAGAUAUAUGGAAAUACUACUACUAUAUCUAUUAUGCCAUCAAAUGCAAAGUAUGCAUGGAACAUCAUCUAGCAACAACCUACCAUCAUGCUAGUAUGCCUCUACAGUGAAAUAAAUACAACAACAACAUAGUUAUGCAGUGUACUAUGUCUAAUCAUGGUAUGAAUGCAAUACUCUUAAGCUAUUCAUGUUAUUACCCAAUCUGCUAGGCUACUUUGCCUAAGAUCUCAAAUCUAGUAGGUGAAAAGCUACCUCAUUCUUGUCUCAUUCGAUUCAUGUCUUAAGGGUCCUGAGCAAAGAGCUACCCCGCUCCUCGCCCGACUUAGAUCUCGAAGGUCCGACCCAAUCUCGAAGGUCCUAGGCAAAGAGCUACCCCACUCCUUGCCCGACUCACAUCUCAAAGUCCUAGGCAAAGGCUACCCCGCACUUUGCCCGACUCACAUCUCGACCUACUAGGUACAGGGCUACUCCACUCAAAUCUCAUAGGUGAAGGAAUAGUAUAUCAUGAAUGCAUGAGCAAUAAGUAAGCUACUAUGAACACUAGUAAGCUACUAUGAACAACACAACAACUAUGGAAGCGAGCUAUCAUGAACAACGAUAAUGAGUAUGACUCAAUAGGUAACCAAAUCUCAUGGUGAACUCGGGGUUCACGAACAUAUCUCACGUGUAAG
rnacentral:lncRNA from 1 species